rnacentral:rRNA from 1 species
UAGGGAAUCUUCCACAAUGGACGCAAGUCUGAUGGAGCAACGCCGCGUGAGUGAAGAAGGUCUUCGGAUCGUAAAGCUCUGUUGUUGGUGAAGAAGGAUAGAGGCAGUAACUGGUCUUUAUUUGACGGUAAUCAACCAGAAAGUCACGGCUAACUACGUGCUAG